rnacentral:rRNA from 1 species
CAGCCGCCGCGGGAAUACGGAGGAUCCGAGCGUUAUCCGGAAUUAUUGGGUUUAAAGGGUGCGUAGGCGGAUAGAUAAGUCAGUGGUGAAAGACGGUGGCUCAACCAUCGCAGUGCCGUUGAUACUGUUUAUCUUGAAUAUGGAUGAGGUAGGCGGAAUGUGGCAAGUAGCGGUGAAAUGCAUAGAUAUGCCACAGAACACCGAUUGCGAAGGCAGCUUACCAAGGCAAAAUUGACGCUGAGGCACGAAAGCGUGGGGAUCGAACAGGAUUAGAUACCCCAGUAGUCCCUGUCUCUUAUAA